UACAGAGGUCCCAAGCGUUGUUCGGAUUCACUGGGCGUAAAGGGUGCGUAGGCGGUCGGGUAAGUCUGAUGUGAAAUCUCACAGCUUAACUGUGAAACUGCAUUGGAUACUAUCCGGCUAGAGGAAUGGAGGGGAGACUGGAAUACUUGGUGUAGCAGUGAAAUGCGUAGAUAUCGGGAAGAACACCCGUGGCGAAGGCGGCACUCUGGGACGGUACUGACGCUGAGACGCGAAAGCGUGGGGAGCGAACAGG
rnacentral:rRNA from 1 species